rnacentral:rRNA from 1 species
CACCCAAAAUUUAGCCCGCCCCCCUAAUAACACAAUUUAAAUAUUUAUAAACCCUAAAAUACUCAUAAUAGUAAACAAACCAUUCUUCCACCUUAGUAUGGGAGACAAAAAAG